GUUAACUGGUGCCAUGUUGGGAACUUACUACACAGACACUUUUGCAACCUCCGUAGAUGACGCUCCAGGCAGACAUGGUGGUUGUCAUACAGCCUACCCAUGACUGGGAUGCAGGGUGUGUGCUAAGAAUUCUAGGGGUAAACUUUGUGUGAGUGGAAUCCCCUAUAAUUUUAUAACCUGCACAGCCCUGAUGGCUGACUCCCUAAUUGAGCAUAGGAGUUUGACCUUCUCUACUGCACAGUUGUGAGAACACUGGGAUUAUUUUGGUCCCCAUCUCACUGUGCUUACUUGAACAACUAAUACCACUCCCUUCUCUGCCCACAUUUCCUCCUUUGAACCUCAAGUUUUGUCCACGGAGCCUUCUUAGAUCCCACCAAUUCUACCUGAUGAUUUUGCUUUAUCCAUGGACUUAGUACUCUGUUCAUUUCUGGUGUUGACCUGUGUCUGAUCUAGGCUAUAGGGAUGUUGAAAAGACAGGGGUUGCAAACCAGAUUUAUGUCCAGAUAGUCCUGCAUCACAUUCUCACAGACCUCAGCCUCUUUCCCAUAAUAUGCUGAAAAUCUUUGGAGAAGAGUCCAUCUCUUUGAGACAAGAGCCCUUGGUCCAGCCAGGCUGUUCCAUCUGACCAUGGAGCGUGUCUGAGGAUGCUCGUGAUCUGAUAAGCCUCUGGCUGAGGGAGGUGUAUCCUUGCAGGAAGACUUGCCCAUUACUUUAAUGUUCUGGUAAUUCCAUUAAGGAAAUGAGGUAAGUCUGGCAGGAUGUGUACUUGGUGGGUGUGUUCAUUUCCUAGGGCUGCCGUAAUAAAGUACUGCAGAGUGGGUGACUUAAAACAGGAAUUUAUUCUUUCAGAGUUCUGGAGUUUAGAGCUUGGAAUCAAGGUGUCUGCAGGGUAUCCUCCCUCUGAAGACUCUAGAGAAGAAUUCUUCCUUGCCUCUUCUGAGCUUCGGGUGGUUACUGGCAAUCCGUGGAGUUCCUUGGCUGAUAGAUAGAUCACUCCAAUUGCUGCCUCUGUCUUUAGAUGUCUUUCUUUAUGUGUCUUUGCAUCUCUGUUUUCUCAUCUUAUAAGUAGUCAUUGGAAUAGCGCCCAUUCUAAUCUGCCAUGACCUCAUCUUAACUAAUCACAUGUGCUGAGACCCU
rnacentral:lncRNA from 1 species